GCCAGGCGUGGUGGCGGGCACCUGUAAUCCCAGCUACUUGGGAGGCUGAGGCAGGAGAAUCACUUGAACCCAUGAGGCGGAGGUUGCAGUGAGCCGAGAUUACGCCAUUGCACUCCAGCCCGGGUGACAGUGCGAGACUCCAUCAAAAAAAAUAAAUAAAUAAAAUAAAUAAAUAUUAAUAAUAAUUUUAAACAAUUAAAAAAUAUGGGAUUUUUUUUGAGACAGAGUCUCACUCUGUCGCCCAGGCUGGAGUGCAGUGGCAUGAUGUCAGCUCACUGCAACCUCCGCCUCCUGGGUUCAAGUGAUUCUUCUGCCUCA
rnacentral:sRNA from 1 species